AGAGUUUGAUCCUGGCUCAGGACGAACGCUGGCGGCGCGCCUAACACAUGCAAGUCGAACGAGAGAUGAGGAGCUUGCUCUUCAAAUCGAGUGGCGAACGGGUGAGUAACGCGUGAGGAACCUGCCUCAAAGAGGGGGACAACAGUUGGAAACGACUGCUAAUACCGCAUAAGCCCACGGCUCGGCAUCGAGCAGAGGGAAAAGGAGCAAUCCGCUUUGAGAUGGCCUCGCGUCCGAUUAGCUAGUUGGUGAGGUAACGGCCCACCAAGGCAACGAUCGGUAGCCGGACUGAGAGGUUGAACGGCCACAUUGGGACUGAGACACGGCCCAGACUCCUACGGGAGGCAGCAGUGGGGAAUAUUGCACAAUGGGGGAAACCCUGAUGCAGCGACGCCGCGUGGAGGAAGAAGGUCUUCGGAUUGUAAACUCCUGUUGUUGAGGAAGAUAAUGACGGUACUCAACAAGGAAGUGACGGCUAACUACGUGCCAGCAGCCGCGGUAAAACGUAGGUCACAAGCGUUGUCCGGAAUUACUGGGUGUAAAGGGAGCGCAGGCGGGAGAACAAGUUGGAAGUGAAAUCCAUGGGCUCAACCCAUGAACUGCUUUCAAAACUGUUUUUCUUGAGUAGUGCAGAGGUAGGCGGAAUUCCCGGUGUAGCGGUGGAAUGCGUAGAUAUCGGGAGGAACACCAGUGGCGAAGGCGGCCUACUGGGCACCAACUGACGCUGAGGCUCGAAAGUGUGGGUAGCAAACAGGAUUAGAUACCCUGGUAGUCCACACCGUAAACGAUGAUUACUAGGUGUUGGAGGAUUGACCCCUUCAGUGCCGCAGUUAACACAAUAAGUAAUCCACCUGGGGAGUACGACCGCAAGGUUGAAACUCAA
rnacentral:rRNA from 1 species